rnacentral:tRNA from 1 species
GUCCAUGGUGGCUCAGAUGGAUAGAGCGUCUGCCAUGUAAGCAGAAGAUCCCGGGUUCGAAUCCCGGUCGGGACA